rnacentral:lncRNA from 1 species
AAAAAUAAGAAAGAGUAAUCUCACCACACUGUAUAACCACCCUGUUGAAGAUUUAAAUGAUUCUUAAAUCUGAUUUGAAAGAUGUAGAAUUGUUGUUGUUUAGAUUUUAUAGAUUUUAGUUUAAUAUUAUAUUUUCAUAAAAAUUCUUGAUUGUGGGGUUAGUAUUGGAAUAUUUAGUUUAAAAUUGAAAUGUGGGGUGAACAAAGUAUUUGGUGGGGUGGCAAUAGCCGCACCCAAUAUUAAUUACAACAAUCAAUUUGAACAGAGGAGUGUUCAACUCCUCACGUGUGUUUGUUACGUGUGGUUCUCUUAUUUUUUUUAAUAUAGGUUUCUAAUCCGAAUCAAUGAUUGAUUGCAUCUCCCUUUAAUAUUACAAUUAAAACAUAUUCCUAGUCUUUUUUUUUUUAUCUUUUUAAUUAAUAUGUUUUCCUAAUCAAUCAAUUAUUGUGAUUGAUUUCUCGUACACCUCUAUAUAAACAGUUUUAGUCGCUUCUUUACGUAUUUCUUUUUGUUAUCCUUCAAUAAAUUUUUCCCUGUCGUCGACAACCUUCAUAAUUAAAAACUUGCAAUUAUGGAUGUUUUAGUUUUAUUUAAAAAGUAUCGUAAGAUAAAAGCAGCAGAAUAGUCGACUUCAUCUGAAGCUCCUCAAAAAUUUCAAAAUAUGAGCAAUCGUUGAGGACAAUUAUAAUUAUUUUACGGAGAUUUGUUAUUUUAUUUAGCUUUUGUUUUCAAAGUAUUCUAAUGAUUUAUAAGUUUUUAUAUUAUUCAAUAAAAAUUAUAUUUUUAUUUUGUGUGACAUUAUUGUUUAAAGGGCCAAUGAUAAAAGGGUACAGUUAGAUGUAAUAAAUGAUAACACAGUUAAUAAAUAUUCAUUGAUGAUAAAACAGUACCUCUAUUUAAAUCUCUUAAAGCGUUACCCAUGAAAAUAAAAAAAAUUACGAUCUAUGCCACUGUUCUCUUAAAGCGUUGCCCCUAAGAAUGAAAAUAACUACGAAUUAUGCCACUGACGCCGUUACCCCAUCCACGCCGUUACCCCCAUAUCUGAGUCCCCCC